rnacentral:lncRNA from 1 species
UAUCAGUCUAUCGCGUCUCUUGACCGCUCGUUUCCUUUUCAGGCUGAGCAGCUCUGGCCUGCUGUAUUUAAAGCUUAUCUUAAAAGAAAGGAGACGGGGACAGCCAUUAUUAUUUUCUGAGAACGGAUCGUUUGGAACAACAGGCGCGUUAAAGUUAGCAUGUGAAGAGCUACGGGCUAGGGUGGAGUUCGUUUCUUUUGUUCUUGGAAGCUGAAUAGGAGAAAGGGACAUUUCAGCUUUUCUUGAUAAAGGCUGUACAACUUUACUUAAACUGCAAGGCGGGAAGGGGUCUUGAAAAUUAAGAAUCCUUCAGGUAAGGACUGAAUUCAAGCCUUUCUUUUCUGUAGAGACUAUGGUUAUUAAUAA